rnacentral:rRNA from 1 species
GCCUGGUCAUAAACUUUGAUUUAUCCGCCAGAAUACUACGAGCAACAGCUUAAAACUCAAAGGACUUGGCGGUGCUCUACACCCCCCUAGAGGAGCCUGUUCUAUAAUCGAUAAUCCACGAUAAACCUCACCAUCUAUUGCCAAUACAGCCUAUAUACCACCGUCCAGCCCACCCUUUAAAGGGCUUACAGUAGGCACAAUUAUAAACAUAAAAACGUCAGGUCAAGGUGUAGCAUAUAAGAUGGGAAGAAAUGGGCUACAUUUUCUAGCUUAGAAUAUUACGGAAAAGCUUGUGAAACAAAACUAUAAAGGAGGAUUUAGCAGUAAAAAGAAAAAAGAGUGUUCUUUUUAAACCGGCAAUGGAGCGCGC